GCGGACGUAGUGCACGGCGCACCACUGCCUUCUAUAGUUUUUCGAGACGUGAAUGCAAGCAGUGAACGGGGUUCGACUCCCCGCGUCCGCC